rnacentral:rRNA from 1 species
AUUGAACGCUGGCGGCAGGCUUAACACAUGCAAGUCGAGCGGAGAGAGGUAGCUUGCUACUGAUCUUAGCGGCGGACGGGUGAGUAAUGCUUAGGAAUCUACCUAUUAGUGGGGGACAACAUUUCGAAAGGAAUGCUAAUACCGCAUACGUCCUACGGGAGAAAGCAGGGGAUCUUCGGACCUUGCGCUAAUAGAUGAGCCUAAGUCGGAUUAGCUAGUUGGUGGGGUAAAGGCCUACCAAGGCGACGAUCUGUAGCGGGUCUGAGAGGAUGAUCCGCCACACUGGGACUGAGACACGGCCCAGACUCCUACGGGAGGCAGCAGUGGGUAAUAUUGGACAAUGGGCGCAAGCCUGAUCCAGCCAUGCCGCGUGUGUGAAGAAGGCCUUAUGGUUGUAAAGCACUUUAAGCGAGGAGGAGGCUACUUUAGUUAAUACCUAGAGAUAGUGGACGUUACUCGCAGAAUAAGCACCGGCUAACUCUGUGCCAGCCGCCGCGGUAACAC